rnacentral:rRNA from 1 species
CCUACGGGGUGCUGCAGUGGGGAAUAUUGGACAAUGGGCGAAAGCCUGAUCCAGCCAUGCCGCGUGUGUGAAGAAGGCCUUCGGGUUGUAAAGCACUUUCAGUGGGGAAGAAAGCCUUGGGGCUAAUACCCUCGAGGAAGGACAUCACCCACAGAAGAAGCACCGGCUAACUCCGUGCCAGCAGCCGCGGUAAUACGGAGGGUGCGAGCGUUAAUCGGAAUUACUGGGCGUAAAGCGCGCGUAGGCGGUCUGAUAAGCCGGUUGUGAAAGCCCCGGGCUCAACCUGGGAACGGCAUCCGGAACUGUCAGGCUAGAGGGCAGGAGAGGAAGGUAGAAUUCCCGGUGUAGCGGUGAAAGGCGUAGAGAUCGGGAGGAAUACCAGGGGCGAAGGCGGCCUUCUGGACUGACACUGACGCUGAGGUGCGAAAGCGUGGGUAGCAAACAGGAUUAGAUACCGGGUAGUC